AAGACGCUAGUAAAAUGGACUAUUACAAUGCCUUGUCAAGGCAUAAUUGCGGGUUAGAGCCCCGCGCGUCUUG
rnacentral:tRNA from 1 species